ACUCAAAUGAAUUGACGGGGACCCGCACAAGCGGUGGAGCGUGUUGUUUAAUUCGACGGUAAGCGAAGAACCUCACCCAGGCUUGACAUCUCGGGAAUUUCUGCGAAAGCAGAGAGUGCCGUAAGGAGCCCGAAGACAGGUGUUGCAUGGCCGUUGUCAGCUCGUGUCGUGAGAUGUUUGGUUAAGUCCAUCAACGAGCGCAACCCUUAUAGUUAGUUGAAAUCUCUAGCUAGACUGCCCUGGUAACAGGGAGGAAGGAGGGGAUGACUUCAGGUCGGUAUUGCCCUUACGUCUGGGGCUACAAACACGCUACAAUGGCCGGUACAAAGGGCUGCCAACCCGCGAGGGGGAGCAAAUCCCAUCAAAGCCGGCCCCAGUUCAGAUUGGAGGCUGAAACUCGCCUCCAUGAAGCCGGAAUCGCUAGUAAUGGUAGGUCAGCACACUACCGUGAAUACGUUCCCGGGUCUUGUACACACCGCCCGU
rnacentral:rRNA from 1 species